UUGGUCAUUUAGAGGAAGUAAAAGUCGUAACAAGGUCUCCGUUGGUGAACCAGCGGAGGGAUCAUUACCGAGUUUACAACUCCCAAACCCCUGUGAACAUACCAAUUGUUGCCUCGGCGGAUCAGCCCGCUCCCGGUAAAACGGGACGGCCCGCCAGAGGACCCCUAAACUCUGUUUCUAUAUGUAACUUCUGAGUAAAACCAUAAAUAAAUCAAAACUUUCAACAACGGAUCUCUUGGUUCUGGCAUCGAUGAAGAACGCAGCAAAAUGCGAUAAGUAAUGUGAAUUGCAGAAUUCAGUGAAUCAUCGAAUCUUUGAACGCACAUUGCGCCCGCCAGUAUUCUGGCGGGCAUGCCUGUUCGAGCGUCAUUUCAACCCUCAAGCCCCCGGGUUUGGUGUUGGGGAUCGGGCUGCGGUUCUACCGCGUCCCGGCCCCGAAAUCUAGUGGCGGUCUCGCUGCAGCCUCCAUUGCGUAGUAGCUAACACCUCGCAACUGGAACGCGGCGCGGCCAAGCCGUUAAACCCCCAACUUCUGAAUGUUGACCUCGGAUCAGGUAGGAAUACCCGCUGAACUUAAGCAUAUCAAUAAG
rnacentral:rRNA from 1 species